rnacentral:lncRNA from 1 species
CCUAAUUCCCAACAACCCAUUUCCCAGCAAUUCAUUCCCUUUCCCCCGCAGCAGCAGCAGCAACCUAUUCCAAUUCUCCAGCUGCCCACUUCACAGCAACCCUUUCCGAUUCCCCAGCAGACCAAUUCCUACCACCAACAACCCAUUCCCAUCCCCCAGCAGCUCAAUUCCAAUCCCAUCCCAGCUGAGCCCAAUUCCCAGCCCAUGCUAGUCGCUCUCGGACUCGCCGACGAGCCAGGGUCGGAG